rnacentral:rRNA from 1 species
AUUGAACGCUGGCGGCAGGCCUAACACAUGCAAGUCGAGCGGAUGAAGGGAGCUUGCUCCUGGAUUCAGCGGCGGACGGGUGAGUAAUGCCUAGGAAUCUGCCUGGUAGUGGGGGAUAACGUCCGGAAACGGGCGCUAAUACCGCAUACGUCCUGAGGGAGAAAGUGGGGGAUCUUCGGACCUCACGCCAUCAGAUGAGCCUAGGUCGGAUUAGCUAGUUGGUGGGGUAAAGGCCUACCAAGGCGACGAUCCGUAACUGGUCUGAGAGGAUGAUCAGUCACACUGGAACUGAGACACGGUCCAGACUCCUACGGGAGGCAGCAGUGGGGAAUAUUGGACAAUGGGCGAAGGCCUGAUCCAGCCAUGCCGCGUGUGUGAAGAAGGUCUUCGGAUUGUAAAGCACUUUAAGUUGGGAGGAAGGGCAGUAAGUUAAUACCUUGCUGUUUUGACGUUACCAACAGAAUAAGCACCGGCUAACUUCGUG